rnacentral:lncRNA from 1 species
CACCAACUUGCAGCUGUUAUUAUCGACCUGAAAUUCUAUCAACAAAGGUGCCUUUUCUUUUUCUUUUCUCAAAAAUUUAUGCUUCAAGGAUUAAUUUGCUUGCUCAAAUUCAUUAAUAUUUGCUCGUGUAUUCAUAAAUUCUGGUUUUGACUUUCGUUGACUUUACUUCUUGUAUUUUGUAUUUUGUCUUGCUUGAAGAUGGAUGUGGUAUAUAAGAUCUAUCUCAAUAAUUCUUGAAUUUGAAUUGCGUUUUAGUCUUUUUUGGAUUCCGUAAGUUCUAAGAUUGUUGACAGGUUAGAAAAAAUUUAUUUGAGACGAUUUUUGAAGGUUCAAUAAGGGAUUUUUUGAAUAUGUUGGUUCUCUGAAAGUAAGUACAUGGGCGGAGGCCCUUAUUCAAUCGAUGAUUUUGAUGUGACUUUUGUAAUUUUGUUUUUGGGUUUAAGAAUUGGGUUGUUAUUAUUUGCUGCAAUGGAAAUGUUCAUCUAUUUGCAAUUAGAACCUCAGAACUGGAUUUUGGGGGUGAGUUACCGUUUUAAGUAAUGAAAGAAACCCUAAGAAAUGUAUAAUUGGUUGUUGAUCUCAUUUUAUAUUUUAUAAAUGUUCCGUGUGCUGAUUGGUUGAUUCUUGAAUUUGGGAUAAAGUUAGUGCUUAUUUGGAAGUGUUUAAAUUAUAAUUUAAUCAUUGAAUUUCACCAAAUGUGUAAAUUAAAGGGGUUUUGCUGUAUGUACAUCCGGGGUUGAAACCCACCUCGGAUGACAGCCCCCUCACAAGAGGGGGCGUCUGGGCAUAAUAAAUUUGAUCGCGGGACCCCUCUUGUAAGGGGGCAAUCAUUCGGGGUGUCAACCCCGAAUGUACGCAUAUCAAAACUCAAAUAAAAAGGUUAUAAAGUCGUGGGUUCAACUAGCUUAGCCAAACAUGCAUUUAGUUUAUACUUUGAUAGCACCCUCAAGCAGUUGCUGAAUCCCAUGGUUUUAGCACUAAAGUAAUUAAGGUUUAUAGAUCUUGUAAUUUGAAUUAUUUUCUUAGUUCAAGGGGAUUUUGGAUUCUGGCAUUUACUUGAGCUGCUAAAGUUUGGGUGAUGCAAUUGUAGUUGUAGGAUGCCAGGAGAACUUCGGGCAUUAAUGAGACCAGUAAACAGUUGAGACUGGUCGUGAUAAACAAACGAUUGCAUCAUUUGAUAACUCAACCAAGUUACUUCAAAGAUGAAACUGCAGUAUAAGAAAUUAGUGAAUGAAAAGUUCAAUUCUAGGCAAAACAUAAAACUGUUUGAUGUAAAAUAUGGGAUUAAUGAAAGCAAGAUUAUAAAUAUUUAGAAUAAGUUAAUUUUAGUAUAACUAAAGAACAUCUAUUCUUUGGCAGAUAUUUGGAUGAAAAGAUGACAACAAAGACAUUGUAAAAUAUUGUACACUAGAGGAGAAAUAAGAAGUUUAAAUUCUUCCAUUAAAACAUCUGCUCGAGACUCUUGAGCAAGAGAUACAUGUGUUUGAUAGUUUUGGAGAAUGAUCUAAACCAAUAGUUGUUAUCAAGAUAAGAAGACAUGCAGAAGAGAGAGAUGAAAUUCCAACUUUGAACUAUUCUUUGUUGUCAAGGUUAGAAGAUAUUAUAAAGGAUGAAGAAUGAAAGAUGGAAUAACUAGAAUUGUCAUUAAGGGAGAAAAGAAUGACAAGCCUUAGCCAUAAUAGAGUUUAGGCAAAAGAAGGAUUGUGAGGAGAGAAGAUAGUUAUAGAAUGAUUAGAAUAAGUAGCAUCAGCCACUUUGGUUUAAACCAAAAAGAAGUACCUCAAUAAGAUUGGGGUCGAAGUGUUUAUAUAGGAGUCUCAAGACCCUAGUCCUUGAAUUUUAAACUUGUCAUUUGCCAGCAUGCUAUAGGUCCCAAAACAAAGAGUGCUGAAUAACAAACAAAUCCUCAGUACCCUAUAACUAGUUAUGAAACUAAAUAAAAGAGACAGAACUAGAAAUGAAAUAUGAAUAAUACCAGCAAUACAUUUGAAUUUCGAAAAUCAAUCUACGUUAUUCCUCCUGUGUUUGAACUUAACUUCAUUAAGAAAACCUCAAAAAUCUUUUGGAACAAAUCUUCUUGGUGCCAUUUAGAUGUAAUUUCAUCUACAGAUGUACAUUCUGAAAAUAACUGAGCUUACCACUGGACCAGAUAUCUUGUAAUGUCAAUCCACAACAUAUUCAGUGUAUUCCUCAGGAGAUAGAAUUCUGUGGAGGAUUUUGAUUGGAGAGAAACUUUUCAUGUUGGAAAGUCAAGUGAAUGGAAAAGAUGAAUAAUGAGAGAAAUAAUUAGGUUGGUGAAUGGAAACACAGAUAUCAAAGAGUUACACUCUGGAAAUACUCUUGUUUAAUUGUUUUCAGAUGAUUUGAAUUUUUACAAAUAUAAUUGUUAUGAAUAUCAUAGGACCUCAUUAAACUUUAAUCUUUGAUUAUUGAUAUGGCCCUGUUUGACCCAUACUCUUUCGAAAAAAUACAUUUUUAAACAAUGAUUUGACAUUAUUUCAACCACACAUUCUUCAAUAAAAUAAUAUUAUAUGCAAAUUUAAAAAUUUUCUUUAUUUUUAACCACACAUUUUCCAUCAAAACACUGUUCAAAAAUGCAUUCUUUUGAAAAUAAUGUGGCUCAAACAAUAAAUUUAACUUUACAUUAAUAAAGAUUAUUUUCUUUAUAUAAUUAAUUGAUUUUACUUCCAGUUCAACCCUGUUGAAUAAUCCAACCUUUAACCCUUUGCCUUCUCCCGUUCAUUGUCCAAGCCAGUUUUCAAAACAUUGAAACUGGAAUGUUGUUACAGUGACUUACCGUUGAUUUCAUGUGAGGGAAGUUUAUAGGUAAAACAUAUUGGUAAAUUUCAUUGACCACCAUCAUUUGCAAAUUAGUUCAUUGCUAAUGCUGCUUUAUAAUUGUCUUGCUUUCCUCUUAUAAAUUAUAUCCCAACUUUUUAAUGAUCUCUUCUUCUUCAUAUUCAUUAUCAAAAUUUUCUCAGAGCCUGUAAACAAUUGAGCUGCAGUGAGAUGUACUUAUUCUGACUACACGUGAAGUUAGUUGAACCUUUGACUCAAAUCCCAAUUUUAAUUCGUUCCCUCUGAUGUUUGAACUGUCGAAUGUGACUCAGUUUUGUUGGGAUCUUAAGUUCUGCUUACUGAAUGAUGCAAUUUAAUUUGUGCAUUAAACUAUUUUUGAAGUGUCAAGUGGUUUUCCUUUUAUCACGGAAGUUCUUCCAAACCUUUCUAAAUCUCCUCUUUCUCGCUGGCUACAAAAUAAACUCUUCAUCUAUUGGCUUUGCUUAAUAUGCUGGAUCGUCUACCAGUUAGAUCCACCUUUUUUAAAUGGUCACUAGCGGGAGUUGAGCCACUAAUUGUUACAGGUUUGAAUAAAAUGAGAGCUAUGUUGUUGGAUAAAAAUUCAACUGUUUAUAUAUAGAGUUAAUGAUGAAAAAAUUUCUUAAAAGAGUUAUGUUGAUCAAUCAAAAUGAUAAUUAGACCAAUCAUCGUCAUGGUGCUCUUCUUUGAAUACAAUUAGGGUAAAAAAAUAAGAGGACUAAUAAUUAUUUGGCUGAUAUUGAUAUCAGAGAAGCCUUCAUCAGAACUAUGAGCUCAAAUUGCCUGUCAUGCUGUCGAGAUUUCAACAUCCAUUUUUCUUUUUGAAACAUGGCAUUUCUCUUUUGUUAACUUGGUAUAAACCAUGUAAAUCUGAGUAAUUGUCAUUAUGUAAUAUCGAAUUUGUAUCUAAGUUGGGCUCGAAUGAAUAGGUUAUUUUGAAUACUAUUUUACAACUUUCUUGUCUAGUUGAUCCAUCACAAUUAUAUUUUCAGGACAAAGAACGUCAUUUUAUGGAUAAGAAAGAAUCCUGCAAGGAGUUUUCCGAAGAUGUGACUCGUGAGUCAUUGAUUGCCAUCUCUUACCGACUACCGGAGACAGAGCGCAUCAGUGAACAGUCUCCUAAAAAAUUGGACAAUGAGAAAGUUGCCCAACCUCUCAAACACGAUGGAGACGAGAAAUAUAGGUCUAAGCUGAUGUCAAUAUCCAGCUCACAGUCACCAGACAUGAAAAUCCUACCUGUUCUUGAUGGUUAACUUAGGUGCCAGGUUUUUAUUUGUGAUGAAUACAGUGUAAAACUUUCUUAAAAAUUGUUGUGAUUUGGAUACCAAGAAAGAAACCUUUUUAGUUGCUUGCAGUGUAUCCUUGAGUUAUUACCUUCUGCUUCUGAAUGCUCUUAUAAUGAAUUGUGAAUAAAUUUGAGCACUCACGAAUUGAUACUUGUAAAUGGAAAAUGCUCUAUCUUAUAAACUCCUCUGCAUUAUGAAAUUGUUAUGGCUA